CUCCCACCGCGUCCACCCGGGCUCCAGCAGGACUUGCUGAGAUGAGGUCAACGCCGCGAGAGGCGGCGGAGCGGCCGAGCGAGCGAGCGAGGGAGGGUGGCAGGGCCAGCCAGGAGAGCGCAAGGGGACGCGGGGGACGAGGUGGCGCCUGCCGGAGCCCCAGCCCCAGCCCCAGCCCUGCAUGGCGGGGCAUUUGCCCGGAGGGCUGAGGGAAGCUGGAGUCUUUCCUGCUGCUGCUGCGCUGCACGACACCCGGCCAGCCCCCUGCCAGCGCCUCGGGGGAAGGGCAGCCUGCGGGGGGUGGGGGGCAGCGAUUGCUUGGCAGGGGGCAAUUCCCUCCCCGCGGCAGCGCCUGCUCCCGGCCCGGGGGACGGAUUUCCCUCCUCCGCGCGGUGCCCGAGCACUUGCUACAUCGAGCUGGAUGCUUCGCUGACCUCGCCCCGCAGCGCGGCGGCCGCGGAGGCGCAGGGGCCUGCGCUGCUGCCCCGGGCACUCCUAGCCCUUUCCCAGCCAGAGCAGCGGAGGGAGACGGGGGCGAGCUGGCCGCGAAUGGCCGCAGGGGAAGGUGGCGCGGAGCACCUGUCAGGGGCUGAAAGCAGUAAUGGCCUGCUGAACAGUGACUCCCCAACAUGACAGAGGAAUGAUGAUGGACUUCAAAAUAUACCCUAUUCUUUCCUUGCCCAGGACCAUGGUAGCGAUGAUACUGCUAUGUCAUGGAGAUAAGGAAAGAAAAUACCUAUAAAGGAUUUUCAAGGUUGUCAGCCAUGCAUCAAUGAUCAGAAUAAAAGAAGGGGGAAAUCCUGGCCCCAUUGAAAUCA